CCUACGGAGGACAGCAGUCGAGAAUCAUUCACAAUGGGGGAAACCCUGAUGGUGCGACGCCGCGUGGGGGAAUGAAGGUCUUCGGAUUGUAAACCCCUGUCAUGUGGGAGCAAAUUAAAAAGAUAGUACCACAAGAGGAAGAGACGUCUAACUCCGGGCCAGCAGCCGCGGUAAUACAGAGGUCUCAAGCGUUGUUCGGAAUCACUGGGCGUAAAGCGUGCGUAGGCUGUUUCGUAAGUCGUGUGUGAAAGGCGCGGGCUCAACCCGCGGACGGCACAUGAUACUGCGAGACUAGAGUACAGGAGGGGGAACCGGAAUUCUCGGUGUAGCAGUGAAAUGCGUAGAUAUCGGGAGGAACACUAGUGGCGAAGGCGGGUUACUGGACAGUAACUGACGCUGAGGCACGAAGGCGAGGGGAGCGAAAGGGAUUAGAUACCCUAGUAGUC
rnacentral:rRNA from 1 species